rnacentral:rRNA from 1 species
AAAUUGAAGAGUUUGAUCAUGGCUCAGAUUGAACGCUGGCGGCAGGCUUAACACAUGCAAGUCGAACGGUAGCAGGAAGAAGCUUGCUUCUUUGCUGACGAGUGGCGGACGGGUGAGUAAUGCUUGGGAAUCUGGCUUAUGGAGGGGGAUAACUACGGGAAACUGUAGCUAAUACCGCGUAGUAUCGGGAGAUGAAAGACUGGGACCGCAAGGCCAGUUGCCAUAAGAUGAGCCCAAGUGGGAUUAGGUAGUUGGUGGGGUAAAGGCCUACCAAGCCGACGAUCUCUAGCUGGUCUGAGAGGAUGACCAGCCACACUGGAACUGAGACACGGUCCAGACUCCUACGGGAGGCAGCAGUGGGGAAUAUUGCACAAUGGGGGGAACCCUGAUGCAGCCAUGCCGCGUGAAUGAAGAAGGCCUUCGGGUUGUAAAGUUCUUUCGGUGAUGAGGAAGGGUGGUGUUUUAAUAGAACAUUACAUUGACGUUAGUCACAGAAGAAGCACCGGCUAACUCCGUGCCAGCAGCCGCGGUAAUACGGAGGGUGCGAGCGUUAAUCGGAAUGACUGGGCGUAAAGGGCACGCAGGCGGUGACUUAAGUGAGAUGUGAAAGCCCCGAGCUUAACUUGGGAAUUGCAUUUCAUACUGGGUUGCUAGAGUAUUUUAGGGAGGGGUAGAAUUCCACGUGUAGCGGUGAAAUGCGUAGAGAUGUGGAGGAAUACCGAAGGCGAAGGCAGCCCCUUGGGAAAAUACUGACGCUCAUGUGCGAAAGCGUGGGGAGCAAACAGGAUUAGAUACCCUGGUAGUCCACGCUGUAAACGCUGUCGAUUUGGGGAUUGGGCUUAGAGCUUGGUGCCCGUAGCUAACGUGAUAAAUCGACCGCCUGGGGAGUACGGCCGCAAGGUUAAAACUCAAAUGAAUUGACGGGGGCCCGCACAAGCGGUGGAGCAUGUGGUUUAAUUCGAUGCAACGCGAAGAACCUUACCUACUCUUGACAUCCUAAGAAGAACUCAGAGAUGAGUUUGUGCCUUCGGGAACUUAGAGACAGGUGCUGCAUGGCUGUCGUCAGCUCGUGUUGUGAAAUGUUGGGUUAAGUCCCGCAACGAGCGCAACCCUUAUCCUUUGUUGCCAGCG